rnacentral:rRNA from 1 species
ACACGGACCAAGGAGUCUAACAUGUGCGCGAGUCAAUGGGAGUUUUCUAAACCCAAAGGCGCAAUGAAAGUGAAGCCGGGGGGCGCGGUUGACCACUGCGCCCGCUCGGCGAGGGAGGAUGGCACGGGGCGCGCGCUCUUGCAGAGGGGCGCGCGUCUUUUACUCCGGCCCGCACUCCCGGGGCGUCGUUCGCGGCGCACCUAGAGCGCACACGUUGGUACCCGAAAGAUGGUGAACUAUGCCUGGCCAGGACGAAGCCAGGGGAAACCCUGGUGGAGGUCCGUAGCGAUUCUGACGUGCAAAUCGAUCGUCUGAGCUGGUAUAGGG